rnacentral:rRNA from 1 species
CCUACGGGUGGCAGCAGUGGGGAAUAUUGGACAAUGGGCGAAAGCCUGAUCCAGCCAUGCCGCGUGUGUGAAGAAGGCCUUCGGGUUGUAAAGCACUUUCAGUGGGGAAGAAAGCCUUGGGGCUAAUACCCUCGAGGAAGGACAUCACCCACAGAAGAAGCACCGGCUAACUCCGUGCCAGCAGCCGCGGUAAUACGGAGGGUGCGAGCGUCAAUCGGAAUUACUGGGCGUAAAGCGCGCGUAGGCGGUCUGAUAAGCCGGUUGUGAAAGCCCCGGGCUCAACCUGGGAACGGCAUCCGGAACUGUCAGGCUAGAGUGCAGGAGAGGAAGGUAGAAUUCCCGGUGUAGCGGUGAAAUGCGUAGAGAUCGGGAGGAAUACCAGUGGCGAAGGCGGCCUUCUGGACUGACACUGACGCUGAGGUGCGAAAGCGUGGGUAGCAAACAGGAUUAGAUACCCUUGUAGUC